GUCCAUCUCAGCGAUGCCAGGCUGGCCAUUGGAGGAGGCAUGUGUUCUCAGAGGGCAGAAGCCCAACUCUAAGGUUCUGUUUUCCCAUCAGCCCCUUAAGCCUGCCGCUCAUUCCCUCUCACAUUGUUAACUCUCAAACACUGAGUGCUUAGCCUGAGGAACGAGGAGGUCUAUUCCCUGCAAGGCCACCUUAUGCCAAGUGAUGUUCCAAAUGCUUUCACUUGUUCCUAAGAGAUAAAAAAAAAAGGAGACUCUCUGGGUUUGGUGGCACCAGCCCGUAACCCCCAGCUGCUCGGGAGACCGAGCAGCUGCUCGGGAGACCGAGGCAGGAAGAGUAUAAAUUUAAGGCCAGCCUGGACUAUAGAGUGAGUUCAAGGACACCCUGUGCAAUCUAGUAAACCUAGUCUCAAAGUAAAAAGGACAGCAGCUUUCUAAAAUGUCACAAACAUGACAUCUCAGCUAUGCAAGCCUGCCGGCCUGAGUUCAAUCCUGGAACCCAUGUGAAGGUAGGAGAGAAGUGACUCCACAGAAUGGUCCUCUGAUCUUCACACACGCCCGUACAACACACACACACACACACCACACACACAACUACAAUGAUAAUGAAGAAAAAACGAAACAACAAAAAUGAAAACAAAACACUCUCCAAGACCCACAUGUGGGUGUGCACUGUCCUGCCUCAGGCUGUUGAUGGAAUUUUGUUGAUGGAAAUUGGACUUUCCCUAGGAAUCUCAUGCUGAGAAGGAAAAAGCUGAGGGCCUGAUGCUAAACCAGAUGGGGAGUUUGUCUCCCAGGAGGAAACCUCACACAGAUGAUGAUGAUGAUGAUGAUGAUGAUGAUGAUGAAACCUCACACAGGUGAUGAUGAUGAUGAUGAUUGAUGAUGAUGACAACGACGAUGACGGGGGAGCCCCCACAUCUUGACCAUGACUGCUUAGUUAUGUGUACCUCUACCCUUCUAACCUGAACCUCAUGCCAAGACCCCAGGAUAGGCAAGUACACUCACUGCCUAAGAACAGUAGGACAUCCAAGGAUGUGCCGUGUCUGGACCCAGAUGCACCGGUGCCUGUGUGUUCUGCUGUUCCAUCUAAGACGCGGAGUACUUCCAGGAAGGAUGAACCUCCACCCACAGGAUCUUGUCCCAGUCUCCCACAACAGGCUGCUCACUGUACUCCACCAAGCCUCUCCAUCCUGCUAUGGGAGGAGGUGUGGCCGUCCUCCCCUGUGAGGCCUGUUAAUUAUGGAUGCAGAAUGGACUGCUAACAUCCUGAACCUGACAUGAGAGGUGCUGCUGGCACCUGUCUCGAUGCUGCUCCUGACAGACCGAAGCCUCUCCUUCUGCCUGCCUUGCUGGACCCAACCCUGGUGCCUUAUGUGUUCCAUAAAAUUUGUUUCAAAUGCUG